rnacentral:lncRNA from 1 species
UUGAGGAUAACUGGACACAAGUUUGGUGACAAUAGUCUUAAUGAUAUAUGUCACCUAAGACACUUGAGGCUUCUUAGAGUGUUGCAACUGGAUGACUCUUCAAUUCUGUUGAGUGAUUCUUUGUUGAAUGAAAUAUGCAGACUGGUUCAUUUGAGAUACUUAGAGAUUCGCACAGAAGUUAAAUCUCUGCCUUCGUCGUUUUCAAAUCUAUUCUGGUGAAUGAUUCUUUGUUGAGUGAAAUAUGCACAUUGGUUCAUUUGAGGUACUUAAACAUUCGGACAAAAGUUAAAUCACUUUCGUCUUUCUCAAAUCUCUUGAAUCUGGAAACUCUGUGGGUGAAUAAAUAUGGACCACCCUUGGUAUUAUUACCAACAAUUUGGAAUCUUGUAAAGUUGCGAGUGCUGGCUAUAUAUAAUUGUUCCUUCUUUGAUUUGUAUAAGAAUGAGUCAAUACUGGUAGCAGAGAACUCAAAGUCAGAGAGCUUGAGAUUAUUACGGGGACUCGAAGUUUCCUAUUCAAAAGACACAGAGGAUAUUUUCAAAAGGUUUCCCAAUCUUCACAAGCUUCGAUUUGAUCUCAAGGAAUCAUGGGAUUGUUCAAGAGGGCGAUAUCGGUUCCCGAAAUUGGACUUCUUAAAUGAACUAGAAUCUCUCGAAGUAACUUUUAUAAGUUCAAAUUCAAAUGAUAGUGCGCUCUCUAUAGCGACAAAUCGGCUUUGGGAUUUUCAUUUCCCUUCGAGUGUAAAAAUGUUGUGUUUGCGUGAGUUUCCUCUGACAUCCGAUUCACUAUCAACAAUUGGAAUACUGUCCAACCUUGAAGAGCUGUACCUUAAAGACACAAUCAUCGAGGGGGAAGAAUGGAACAUGGGGGAGGAAGACACCUUCCAGAAUCUCAAAUGUUUGACAUUGCAGCGAGUGAAUCUUGCUAAGUGGGAGGUUAGAGAGGAAUCCUUUCCUGUGCUUGAGAAAUUACGACAGCGGGAUUGUCGUUAGCUUGAGGAGAUUCAGCCAAGUUUCGGGGAUAUUUGUUCAUUAAAAAGUAUCGAACUGAAGUGGAGCCCUCAACUUGUAGAAUCUGCUCUGAAGAUUAAGCAAGAUGUUGAAGAUAUGAUGGGGGAUAUUCAGGUCCUUGUUUAUAACUGAUCAAGUUUUGAGCAUUUUUACCUUGGGAAAAUAGGUGAGUACAGACGAAUUUAUUACCUCCUCAUUUUCAGUAUAAGUGGCAGAGUUUGACCAGUGUAAUUUUCUUUUGCAGAGUUUGACGAGUUGUUUGCAUAUCAUAUGUUACUGCUCAAGUCCAAAAACAUAUGAUGGAAUAAUUCUUUAGGAAGUUGAUUUGGAGGAUGAUUCUUUUGGAAGUUGAUUUGGAGGAUAGCAAGAAGUGAAACAAAAGGUGGGCAACCUCUGUACUAUAUGAAAGUUAUCUUAUAUCUCAGAUUUUUCAAGUUUUUAUAUAUCUUUCAACAAAUACCUUCACAAUCAGCUCAUCGGCGCAUAGAGUUUUAGUUGUGAUGCAGGCUGGUGGAAUUUGGACAAGAGGGGUUGCUCUGAUGGUAAGCAACCCCCACUUCCAACCGAGAGGUUGUGAGUUCGAGUCUCCCAAAGAGCAAGGUGGAAGUGUUUUGGAGGGAAUGAUGCCGGGGGUCUAUUUGGAAACAGCCUCUCUACCCCAUGGUAGAGGUAAGGUCUGUGUACAUACUACCCUCCCCAGACCCCACUAUAUGGGAUUAUACUAGGUUGUUGUUGUUGUUGUUGCAAGGCUGGUGGAAUUCACGUGCACCAAGAAUCAGCCCAUCGAAGCAAUUGGAGUUGAGGCCUCAACUUGAAGAAUCUGCUCUGAAGAUUAAGCAAGACGUUGAAGAUACGAUGGGAGAA